rnacentral:misc_RNA from 1 species
UGCCUUUGGUCGCUGCUUUGGUCGUCGUCGUGGGUGCUUUCCGCUUUUCUACGGCGUUG